rnacentral:rRNA from 1 species
CCUACGGGAGGCUGCAGUGGGGAAUAUUGGACAAUGGGCGAAAGCCUGAUCCAGCCAUGCCGCGUGUGUGAAGAAGGCCUUCGGGUUGUAAAGCACUUUCAGUGGGGAAGAAAGCCUUGGGGCUAAUACCCUCGAGGAAGGACAUCACCCACAGAAGAAGCACCGGCUAACUCCGUGCCAGCAGCCGCGGUAAUACGGAGGGUGCGAGCGUUAAUCGGAAUUACUGGGCGUAAAGCGCGCGUAGGCGGUCUGAUAAGCCGGUUGUGAAAGCCCCGGGCUCAACCUGGGAACGGCAUCCGGAACUGUCAGGCUAGAGUGCAGGAGAGGAAGGUAGAAUUCCCGGUGUAGCAGUGAAAUGCGUAGAGAUCGGGAGGAAUACCAGUGGCGAAGGCGGCCUUCUGGACUGACACUGACGCUGAGGUGCGAAAGCGUGGGUAGCAAACAGGAUUAGAUACCCGUGUAGUC